UAGCUACUGUAAAAUGAAAGCUGAAAUAGCUCUAUGCGUGACAUCAGUCAGCCAUUGUUUCUGAGUGGCUGGACAGCAGCAGCCGCACCACGCAGGCUUUACACAUUUACCAGGCGGAAGAAAAAGUAGCUCCCAUUUAGGCAAGAAUAAUUAUCGUCUGUAUUUCAGCGUCUGAGACUCUCGACAAGGAAAAUAAGAGCUUCAGCGUACCCUGAGAAGCAGUUGGCGUUGGUCAGCACGUCUCUCUCAGACACCAGCGUCCCUCCACACACGUGCUGGCCGUUCUUCUGUAAGCUGGCCAUCCACGGCCACUCACCGGCCGACGCCACAGACACUCCACCCGAAAUCCUAGAAGCCAGUGGGGCCUGUCCACAGACCACACCUGGAGGAGGAAGACACAGAAACAGGUUGGAUCAGCUGCUGCGACACCAAAAUGGUCGUAUCCAACCUGCAACAGCAUGCAGGAGUCUGGCUUGCUUUCAUUUUUCACAGCAAAGAAUAAUAUGCUCUCCAACAGUGUUACAGCGCCACCCAUUGGCCCGCCGGUCCUA